rnacentral:misc_RNA from 1 species
UAAUAAGUGUUUUAUGGCACUUUUUAAAUCCAUAUCCACCUUGUGUGCAAUGUCAGUCGAUCUUCUUUCAUUGGAGAUCGACCAAACAUCAACCUUUAUCUUUUAACUCUUUGUCUGAAAAAUAUUAUGAAUAAACAAUUCAAAAUA